CGGACCUCAGAUCAGGCAAGACCACCCUCUGAGUUUAAGCAUAUCACUAAGCGGAGGAAAAGAAACUAACAAGGAUUUCCUUAGUAACGGCGAGCGAAC
rnacentral:rRNA from 1 species